UACGUAGGGGGCUAGCGUUAUCCGGAAUCACUGGGCGUAAAGGGUGCGUAGGUGGUUUCUUAAGUCAGAGGUGAAAGGCUACGGCUCAACCGUAGUAAGCCUUUGAAACUGGGGAACUUGAGUGCAGGAGAGGAGAGUGGAAUUCCUAGUGUAGCGGUGAAAUGCGUAGAUAUUAGGAGGAACACCAGUUGCGAAGGCGGCUCUCUGGACUGUAACUGACACUGAGGUACGAAAGCGUGGGGAGCAAACAGG
rnacentral:rRNA from 1 species